CGUUGCGUUAACAGUAGCGUGCCGUGCAGUACGCUUAUACGGCGUCUGCCCUCCCGGGCCUACGGACAUUCCGCUCCGACCCUGAAACACACGACACAUUGACAAUACAAUUUCACUUUUGGUCAUUGAAGUUGCACUCAAAAGGGCAUUUGAUGAAAUGACCUUCGUACGCAAACCGUGCCGCCAGGACUGCAGAGAACGACGGACCCACUGUCAAACAUUAACUUUGUCUGUUUGUCUGUUCCCCAGAUAUCAAAUAUAUCUACCAUCAUAUCACGUAAACUGUAACUGCACUCUCCUGGCUCUACCUGUCUGACUGGACGCUAUAGAAAACGAUGUCACGGUAAAUCGUAAUAAACGAGUCGAUGCCACAAGAAUCGUAUGCAACCACAUGCACGCGUAAAUACUGUACAAGCGUCGAAAAAUUGUUGUAACAUUCUGAAUCGUCACGGGAAUCGUUGCCAAGUAUAGUAGAUGCCAAGUAGGCAGUGGAAGGAGAAAAGUACCAAGUGGCAGAGAUGGUCAGGGGGAAUGACGGAAGAAAAGAAGAAACACUCGUCGUUUUACGUUAUGCACCUCUUACGUAAAACGUUUCGAUAUUACCGCGAAUGAGUCACGCGUCCUCAUCUCGCGUCAUUCUCGACUGAACGGCUGUCCAAAAUAAUUGCCUGAACCGAACGGUACAAUCCAAUUGACUUUAUUAGUUUUUUAUUUCCUCUCUUUCCUUCUAAUCUGUUUACGUCCUUUUUCAGAUGCACGUGAACAUACGCAAUGUCUCUUAUUUACGUCGGAACAAACAGGUACUGAUAUUCGAAAACUUCACUACUACCACUUCACGUUGUUUUAUCACUCAAAACACUCAGCGACUUGUAAACGCACUCAGGUCGAGGAGACGAUCGACUCGCGAAUGGAUUUAAUUCACAAAGUAGCAGUAACAGGCAGAACCUGUAAAUGUACAGACAUUAUAUGUAAAGAUUAUACACGUUUCUCGGUUGGGCACGCUCGAAAAACUCUCGUGGUCACUCGCGGUUCCGAUUUCUUUCUUAAAUAAUAAACUUCACGAAUGUUACUUUGUGUCUAGCAUUCAGGUAAGUAUAGUUGAUCCACGAGCAAGAUACUUUAAUCUGACAGACUAUGGAACUCCUCAGGAUAAAACACGUGUUCCUAUCUGUCACUUUAAGAUAUUUUACUCGUGGACCGACUGUAUAAACAUAGAUACACAUAUACACGAUUAUUCAAGCCUGUAUACCACCCGAAGAUGAUUCCAUCAUAGAAAUGAGUACAAAUCGACAAAAAUAUCCUCAGGUGAUGCAACAGUCCUGAAUUAUGCACAAUGUGUAACCGCACAGUCUUAACCUGACUGCUCGUGUUACGCACGGAGAUACGCAAAACGGCUGUGCGUUAACGACUAACUUGCUGAAGUCUGAGACAAAGUGGAGUUUAACUUGUAAAGAUAAAGACUAUCUCAGUGAUAAGAAUGGCCUAGCUCCGUAUCAAACGAUUACCGAACAGAUAUGUUCCCCCGUCACUCUUCACGUAUUUAUAGAAAGAAAUUCGAUUUUAAGUACCCACGUAGAUUUCUCUCGCUCCUAACCUCUAAUUAAUAAUAUAGAAUACAUUAACACGCGUAAGAUUGUAUAUGCUUACUUGUAUAAAAUUCUCCUGAGUUAUCUCGUUAGGGGUUUCUCCAAUAAACAUUUCUUGACUUUC